rnacentral:rRNA from 1 species
AACGUAGGUGGCGAGCGUUAUCCGGAUUUACUGGGCGUAAAGGGUGUGCAGGCGGGCUGUUAAGUGGUGUGUGAAAUCUCCCGGCUCAACCGGGAAGGGUUAUGCCAGACUGGCAGUCUAGAGAGCGAGAGAGGGACGUGGAAUUCCGGGUGUAGUGGUGAAAUGCGUAGAGAUCCGGAGGAACCCCAGAGGCGAAGGCGGCGUCCUGGCUCGCAUCUGACGCUCAGACACGACAGCAUGGGGAGCGAACGGG